rnacentral:misc_RNA from 1 species
GUGGGAAGUUAAAGGUGAUGUUUCUGGCCCAACUCAAAUUCCAAUGGCUUGUAAGGAUUCUGUAGCAAUGUUUUUCAUGUUUGAUCUCACAAGUAGAUGUACACUCAGUAGUGUCCUUAGCUGGCAUCAACAAGCACGUCAAUGGAAUCAGACAGCAAUUCCUGUAAUGAUAGGGACAAAGUUUGAUGAUUUUGUGAAAUUGCCAUUGGAUCUUCAAUGGACAAUUGCAAGUCAGGCAAGAGCAUAUGCAAAGGCACUAAAUGCACCAUUAUUUUUCUCUAGUGCAACAUACAACAUUAAU